rnacentral:lncRNA from 1 species
AUGGGGAAAAUCAAUGGGAAAAUGGGGAAAAAUCAAUGGGAAAAUGGGGGGAAAUGGGGAAAAAUGGGGGGAAAAAGGGGGAAAACGGGAAAAAAUGGGGAAAAAUGGGGAAAAAUAGGGGGGAAACGGGAAAAAAUGGGGAGAAAUGGGGGAAAAUCAAUGGGAAAACGGGGAAAAAUAGGGGGAAAAAGGGGGAAAAUGGGAAAAAAUGGGGAAAAAUGUGAGAAUAAAGGGGGAAAAUGGGAAAAAUGGGGAGAAAAUGGGGAAAAAUGGGGAAAAUGGGGAAAAAAUGGGGAAAAAAUGGGGAAAAAUGGGGAAAAUCAAUGGGAAAAUGGGGGGAAAUGGGGAAAAAUCAAUGGGAAAAUGGGGAAAAAUGGGGAAAAUCAGUGGGAAAAUGGGAAAAAAUGGGGAGAAAUGGGGAGAAAAUGGGAAAAAAUUGGGAAAAAUGGGGAGAAAAAGGGGGAAAAUGGGGAAAAAUGGGGAAAAAUGGGGAGAAAUGGGGAAAAUGGGAAAAAAUGGGGGAAAAUGGGAAAAAAUGGGGGGAAAUGGGGAGAAAACGUGAGAAAUGGGGAGAAAAUGGGGGAAAAAAUGGGGAAAAUCAACGGGAAAAUGGGGAAAAAUGGGGAGAAAACGGGAAAAAUGGGGAUAAAAUGGGGAAAAAUGGGGAAAAUCAGUGGGAAAAUGGGAAAAAAUGGGGAGAAAAUGGGAAAAUCAAUGGGAAAAUGGGGGGAAAAUGGGGAAAAAUGGGGAGAAAUGGGGAAAAAUGUGCGAAUAAAGGGGGAAAAUGGGGAAAAAUGGGGAGAAAAUGGGGAGAAAAUGGGGAAAAGGGGGAAAAAUGGGGAUAAAUCAAUGGGAAAAUGGGGGGAAAAAGGGGGAAAACGGGAAAAAAUCCGGAAAAAUGGGGGGAAAUGGGGGGAAAAAGGGAAAAAAUGGGGAGAAAAUGGGGGGAAAAAGGGGGAAAAUGGGAAAAAUGGGGAGAAAUGGGGAAAAUCAAUGGGAAAAUGGGAAAAAUGGGGAAAAAUGGGGAAAAUGGGGAGAAAAAGGGGGAAAAUCAACGGGAAAAAUGGGGAGAAAUGGGGGGGAAACGGGAAAAAUCAAUGGGAAAAUGGGGAAAAAUGGGGAAAAAUGGGGGAAAAUGGGGAAAAUGGGAAAAAAAAUGGGGAAAAUGGGAAAAAUGGGAAAAAAAUGGGAAAAAAUGGGAUAAAAAUGGGAAAAAAUGGGGAAAAAAAUGGGAAAAAAUGGUGA